GUUAGCAGUGUGAUUAAUGUUAGAGUUAGACAUUAGGGUUAGCAGUGUGAUUAAUGUUAGAGUUAGACAUUAGGGUUAGCAGUGUGGUUAAUGUUAGAGUUAAGGUUAGGGUUAGCAGUGUGAUUAAUGUUAGAGUUAAGGUUAGGGUUAGCAGUGUGAUUAAUGUUAGAGUUAAGGUUAGGGUUAGCAGUGUGAUUAAUGUUAGAGUUAAGGUUAGGGUUAGCAGUGUGGUUAAUGUUAGAGUUAAGGUUAGGGUUAGCAGUGUGAUUAAUGUUAGAGUUAAGGUUAGGGUUAGCAGUGUGAUUAAUGUUAGAGUUAAGGUUAGGGUUAGCAGUGUGGUUAAUGUUAGAGUUAAGGUUAGGGUUAGCAGUGUGAUUAAUGUUAGAGUUAAGGUUAGGGUUAGCAGUGUGAUUAAUGUUAGAGUUAAGGUUAGGGUUAGCAGUGUGGUUAAUGUUAGAGUUAAGGUUAGGGUUAGCAGUGUGAUUAAUGUUAGAGUUAAGGUUAGGGUUAGCAGUGUGAUUAAUGUUAGAGUUAAGGUUAGGGUUAGCAGUGUGAUUAAUGUUAGAGUUAAGGUUAGGGUUAGCAGUGUGAUUAAUGUUAGAGUUAAGGUUAGGGUUAGCAGUGUGAUUAAUGUUAGAGUUAGACAUUAGGGUUAGCAGUGUGAUUAAUGUUAGAGUUAAGGUUAGGGUUAGCAGUGUGAUUAAUGUUAGAGUUAAGGUUAGGGUUAGCAGUGUGAUUAAUGUUAGAGUUAGACAUUAGGGUUAGCAGUGUGAUUAAUGUUAGAGUUAGACAUUAGGGUUAGCAGUGUGAUUAAUGUUAGAGUUAGACAUUAGGGUUAGCAGUGUGAUUAAUGUUAGAGUUAAGGUUAGGGUUAGCAGUGUGAUUAAUGUUAGAGUUAGACAUUAGGGUUAGCAGUGUGAUUAAUGUUAGAGUUAGACAUUAGGGUUAGCAGUGUGAUUAAUGUUAGAGUUAGACAUUAGGGUUAGCAGUGUGAUUAAUGUUAGAGUUAGACAUUAGGGUUAGCAGUGUGAUUAAUGUUAGAGUUAAGGUUAGGGUUAGCAGUGUGAUUAAUGUUAGAGUUAAGGUUAGGGUUAGCAGUGUGAUUAAUGUUAGAGUUAGACAUUAGGGUUAGCAGUGUGAUUAAUGUUAGAGUUAAGGUUAGGGUUAGCAGUGUGAUUAAUGUUAGAGUUAGACAUUAGGGUUAGCAGUGUGAUUAAUGUUAGAGUUAAGGUUAGGGUUAGCAGUGUGAUUAAUGUUAGAGUUAAGGAUAGGGUUAGCAGUGUGAUUAAUGUUAGAGUUAGACAUUAGGGUUAGCAGUGUGAUUAAUGUUAGA